GCGGCGGACGGGUGAGUAACACGUGGAUAACCUACCUAUAAGACUGGGAUAACUUCGGGAAACCGGAGCUAAUACCGGAUAAUAUUUUGAACCGCAUGGUUCAAAAGUGAAAGACGGUCUUGCUGUCACUUAUAGAUGGGUCCGCGCUGCAUUAGCUAGUUGGUAAGGUAACGGCUUACCAAGGCAACGAUGCAUAGCCGACCUGAGAGGGUGAUCGGCCACACUGGAACUGAGACACGGUCCAGACUCCUACGGGAGGCAGCAGUAGGGAAUCUUCCGCAAUGGGCGAAAGCCUGACGGAGCAACGCCGCGUGAGUGAUGAAGGUCUUCGGAUCGUAAAACUCUGUUAUUAGGGAAGAACAUAUGUGUAAGUAACUGUGCACAUCUUGACGGUACCUAAUCAGAAAGCCACGGCUAACUACGUGCCAGCAGCCGCGGUAAUACGUAGGUGGCAAGCGUUAUCCGGAAUUAUUGGACGUAAAGCGCGCGUAGGCGGUUUUUUAAGUCUGAUGUGAAAGCCCACGGCUCAACCGUGGAGGGUCAUUGGAAACUGGAAAACUUGAGUGCAGAAGAGGGAAGUGGAAUUCCAUGUGUAGCGGUGAAAUGCGCAGAGAUAUGGAGGAACACCAGUGGCGAA
rnacentral:rRNA from 1 species